UAUCCAACUUAGUUAAACUGCCAAGAUAUUAUUCCUAUGAGUUUUCUUUUGUGUAAAAUAGCUAAUGGCCUGUUGCGAAAGAAAUUUAUAUUUUGAAUUUAGUGGUGUUAAAACUGACUUUAUACUUGCUAUUUUAUUACUUCUGCUUAAUUAAAUUUUUGGAUUUUUAUUAUAACAUUGUCGAAACAAAAUCUUUUUUUGGUUAUUAAUUAUUAAAGUUUUUAGCACAUAUAGAUUUGCUAUUCUUGUUUGUUAAGUCAUAUUGUAUUACUAAAUCCGUAUCCCUGAUUUUAUAUUUUUUCCUUUAUGGAUUAAGUAGUAGAAAAUAAUAUAGUAUUAUUUCAACCUUGAAUAAGCAACACUAUAAACGAAAAGAUAUAUUUUUUAAAAGACAUCAAAAAUCAAUAUUUAAUUUAAAAUAUUCAUCUUGAUAUUACCUUUGAUUGUUGGAUAACCUUAAUCCACAC
rnacentral:sRNA from 1 species